AGACGGAGUACAUGACAGGGGAACAAAGGCAAGAUAGGAGCAGCCGAGAGUGCACAUCCUGAUUCACAAGUAGAAGGAAGAGGAAGCAAAAGGUUGGGAAUGAUGAAAUCAUCAUCCUUGUGUCAUCCUUGAUGGCAGUAAUUUCUGAUUCAGCCUCCUGAGCCACAGUGUUUACUCAUACAAUCUACAUUCAGAGGACUGUAACACGCUUUUUAAGCCAUUUUCAACCACUGGAGGCCUUUGCUACUGGAAAGUGCCAAUAUCAUGGACAUUUGAGUAAUAGCGAGAAAAUUUUAGGGCAUUGGAUGCAACCUGAACAUAGAAUUGUGUGGUUUUGGCCUGAUCAGGUUUUCGGCUAUUCUGAGAAUACAAGACUCCCAUUUUUCAAGAGACAGUGAAUCCACAUAAAGCAGAUUCUAUCUUAAACCUGUCCAUUCAUCCUUGUCAUCUUUUUCUGUAAGUUAUUUAAAAAUAAAUUCGGAAAACGGUA